GAAGUCAGUAACCCAGAAAGACGCCAAGAAACACUCUUAGGGGAUGCGGGGCAGGGGCUGCUGGCAGGGCUGACCUGAGCGAAGACCCCAGCCCGAGGUGUGGACAGGACCAUGCUCCUGGCCUGGGGCCCGUGUGGAGCUGGGACCCCCCUCUCCUUUGCAGCGAGUGCAGUGGUGAGAUCCUGAACAACUGCUGCGUGAUGGAGUACCACCAAGCCACGGGCACCCUCAGUGCCCACUUCAGGAACAUGUCACUGAAGAGGAUCAAGCGUGCUGACCGGCGGGGUGCAGAGUCCGUGACAGAGGAGAAGUUCACAGUCCUGUUUGAGUCUCAGUUCAGUGUUGGCAGCAAUGAGCUUGUGUUCCAGGUGAAGACUCUGUCCCUACCUGUGGUUGUCAUCGUCCACGGCAGCCAGGACCACAAUGCCACGGCUACCGUGCUGUGGGACAACGCCUUUGCUGAGCCGGGCAGGGUGCCAUUUGCCGUGCCUGACAAAGUGCUGUGGCCGCAGCUGUGUGAGGCGCUCAACAUGAAAUUCAAGGCCGAAGUGCA
rnacentral:sRNA from 1 species